rnacentral:rRNA from 1 species
GAUGAACGCUGGCGGCGUGCCCAAUACAUGCAAGUCGAGCGAACGGACGAGAAGCUUGCUUUUCUGAUGUUAGCGGCGGACGGGUGAGUAACACGUGGAUAACCUACCUAUAAGACUGGGAUAACUUCGGGAAACCGGAGCUAAUACCGGAUAAUAUUUUGAACCGCAUGGUUCAAAAGUGAAAGACGGUCUUGCUGUCACUUAUAGAUGGAUCCGCGCUGCAUUAGCUAGUUGGUAAGGUAACGGCUUACCAAGGCAACGAUGCAUAGCCGACCUGAGAGGGCGAUCGGCCACACUGGAACUGAGACACGGUCCAGACUCCUACGGGAGGCAGCAGUAGGGAAUCUUCCGCAAUGGGCGAAAGCCUGACGGAGCAACGCCGCGUGAGUGAUGAAGGUCUUCGGAUCGUAAAACUCUGUUAUUAGGGAAGAACAUAUGUGUAAGUAACUGUGCACAUCUUGACGGUACCUAAUCAGAAAGCCACGGCUAACUACGUG